rnacentral:rRNA from 1 species
GGGGAAUAUUGGACAAUGGGCGAAAGCCUGAUCCAGCCAUGCCGCGUGUGUGAAGAAGGUCUUCGGAUUGUAAAGCACUUUAAGUUGGGAGGAAAAAAAGACGGUACCCAAGAAGCACGUCCCGGCUAACUACGUGCCAGCAGCCGCGGUAAUACGUAGGGGACAAGCGUUGUCCGGAUUUACUGGGCGUAAAGGGCACGCAGGCGGUUUUUUAAGUCAGAUGUGAAAGGUACCGGCUCAACCGGUGACAUGCAUUUGAAACUGAAAGACUUGAGUAUUGGAGAGGCAAGUGGAAUUCCUAGUGUAGCGGUGAAAUGCGUAGAUAUUAGGAGGAACACCGGUGGCGAAGGCGGCUUGCUGGACAAAUACUGACGCUGAGGUGCGAAAGCGUGGGGAGCAAACA